GAUGAACGCUGGCGGCGUGCCUAAUACAUGCAAGUCGAGCGAACGGACGAGAAGCUUGCUUCUCUGAUGUUAGCGGCGGACGGGUGAGUAACACGUGGAUAACCUACCUAUAAGACUGGGAUAACUUCGGGAAACCGGAGCUAAUACCGGAUGAUAUUUUGAACCGCAUGGUUCAAAAGUGAAAGACGGUCUUGCUGUCACUUAUAGGUGGAUCCGCGCUGCAUUAGCUAGUUGGUAAGGUAACGGCUUACCAAGGCAACGAUGCAUAGCCGACCUGAGAGGGUGAUAGGCAACACUGGAACUGAGAAACGGUCCAGACUCCUACGGGAGGCAGCAGUAGGGAAUCUUCCGCAAUGGGCGAAAGCCUGACGGAGCAACGCCGCGUGAGUGAUGAAGGUCUUCGGAUCGUAAAACUCUGUUAUUAGGGAAGAACAUAUGUGUAAGUAACUGUGCACAUCUUGACGGUACCUAAUCAGAAAGCCACGGCUAACUACGUG
rnacentral:rRNA from 1 species